rnacentral:rRNA from 1 species
CCUACGAGAGGCAGCAGUGGGGAAUAUUUGGCAAUGGAGGCAACUCUGACCCAGCAACGCCGCGUGAAUGAUGACGGUCUUCGGAUUGUACAGUUCUUUUCUCAGGGACGAAGAAAGUGACGGUACCUUAGGAAUAAGCCUCGGCUAACUACGUGCCAGCAGCCGCGUUAAUACGUAGGAGGCAAUCGUUAUCCGGAAUGACUGGGCGUAAAGGGUGCGUAGGUGGUUUGACAAGUUAGUAGCGAAACUCCGGAGCUCAACUUCGGAACUACUACUAAAACUGUUGGACUUGAGUGCAGGAGGGGCAAUCGGAAUUCCUGGUGUAGCGGUGGAAUGCGUAGAUAUUAGGAGGAACACCAGUGGCGAAGGCGGAGUGCUAGACUGUAACUGACACUGAGGCACGAAAGCGUGGGGAGCAAACAGGAUUAGAUACCCCAGUAGUC